AUUUCACAAACUAGACACUUGUUUAGUUACAUCUGGGUCUUCCACUUCUCUUUCUGUCCUUGUUAGAGCCAGUUCUCCUUUGUCUUUGAAGACUGCAGUGUACACCUUUUUAUGAAAUCUUCAGUUUCUUGGCACUGAAAGCCUUUCAAGUCUUCAUUCCUCAAAACAUUGAUUGACUGACACGAAAGCUGUUUCUUUUUUUUGCCAUCUUUGACCCAUGUUAGUCCCGCCUCCCAGAGGAGAGAGCAACACCCCACUACACGUGAAGCCCCUAUGGAAUGGUCAGAAUGGGUAGGGGGUCGUGGGUGUGAGUACGGACGACAGAGGCAGGACUACCGUUCACAAGACUAUCUAUUACAACGACAGCAACACGGACCAAACAACAGAAGAGCAGCAGCGAGUGAAAGAGAUUUCAGAACUCUGUGGCUUAUAUGCAGGCUGAACCAGUUGCAACGACUGAAGUCAGAAGUCAGCUCUCCAACCAGCCCGAAAACGAUCAUUCAGCUGCAACCGGCGAUCAGGAAGCCAAUUACUAUUAAGAAGCCUGCAACCACCAGACAGAGAAACAAGGCACAAACACACAUACGAACACAGAGCAACAGGAAGCACUGGGGACGUAACGACCGAAUAUGGACCUUAAGACAUGCCAGUCUACUGCAUGCUGUGGCAACUUGAAAACAAACACAAUGUUAAGGUUCAUUUAACAAACCAAACAGCUUUCAGCUGUGUUUGAUAUCAUGGGAAGUGAUUUUCUAGUACCAAAUUAUCCAUUAAGCAUAAUUACUUACGAUAAGGUGUUAGAGUGAUGACUGCAGGAAAUGGGGCCUGACUAGAUUUGUGAUGGUGUCAUAUAGUGAUGGUGCUGUUUUUUUACAUCAAUAAUGUCCUGAUUAUACUUUGUGAUCAACUGAAUGCGACUUUGGUGAAUAAAAGUAUACAGUUCCUUCCUAAA